ACUCAAAGGAAUUGACGGGGGCCCGCACAAGCAGUGGAGUAUGUGGUUUAAUUCGAAGCAACGCGAAGAACCUUACCAGGAAUUGACAUCCCUCGCAAUGUGUUGAAAGACACAGUUCCCUCGGGACGGGGAGACAGGUGGUGCAUGGUUGUCGUCAGCUCGUGUCGUGAGAUGUUGGGUUAAGUCCCGCAACGAGCGCAACCCUUGUUGUUAGUUGCCAUCAGGUAAAGCUGGGCACUCUAACGAGACUGCCGGUGACAAAUCGGAGGAAGGUGGGGAUGACGUCAAAUCAUCAUGCCCCUUAUGUUCUGGGCUACACACGUACUACAAUGGCUGUUACAGAGGGGAGCGAAGCCGCAAGGCAGAGCCAAUCCCAAAAAACAGUCUCAGUUCGGAUUGUGGGCUGAAACCCGCCCGCAUGAAGUCGGAAUUGCUAGUAAUGGCAGGUCAUCAUACUGCCGUGAAUACGUUCCCGGGCCUUGUACACACCGCCCGU
rnacentral:rRNA from 1 species